GUUAUAGUUAGCCAAUUUCUCUCUUUCACGAGCAGGGAUUUGUUGCUUUGUUGACGCUACAGGGAAGUUUCCUGGUUUAAAGAAAGUUGUGGCUAGAGAGCUCUAUAGGCAAUAAGGCAACAGCUACUUCAACAAGCUAUGCAUGAUAGCUGAUAUCAGCCGCAAAUCGUGCGUGUGUUGUCCCAGAGACCGUUUAGUUCUAGUGUGACUGUGUGAUAUUGUACUCUGUAGUAUGUGCAGUAUUUCCGAAGACUGGUUGGUUUAUAUUUUUGUUAAUGUAAAUGAAAUAUGUAAAGUUGUUGUGUGCACUACAGUAGUGAGACAAAAGCCUUUCAUAUAUUUAGGUUGCCUGUAUGUUUUGAAGGUGUGUCUGCAAAGCUCUGUAACGUUUUGUCUGUUUUUUUUUUUUUUAAAUCUCUUAUGCUCUGGAUAAGAUGGACGUCUUUCCUCUGACCUGUUACCAAGACAGCUGGAUGUGUAAGAAGCUGGAACUAAGUCACUGAAGAAGUAAACCGAUGAAAACCGAUUUGGAUUGUCUGAGAGAUGACACAAGUAAAAGGAGAAGAAUGCUGCUCAGCUGGGUUGGCGAAGCUCUUGGAUAUCAUCAGCACAUGUAUGAAGCACAGAGUCAUUCCGGUAGGCACAGAGUCGUUCCUCGAUGGACGUGAUGACCUGGCACCAAAACCGCUUAAUGUGUAUGAAGCUGUCUGCAUCGAGGGAAGAACCCAGCACUGAAAUGACACAAAUGAAAGAAGAGUACUUCUGCUCUGCUGGGUCUGCGACACUACUUAUCCGAGGAGUCCUCAAACAUCAGGAUGUAGGAAGACACAAGUAAAAGGAGAAGAAUGCUGCUCAGCUGAGUCGGCGGUCACACUACUUAUUCAAGAAGCUCUUGGAUAUCAUCGGCAUGUGUGAAGCACAGUCAUUCCGGUAGGCACGGAGUCGUUCCUCGAUGGACGUGAUGACCUGGCACCAAAACCACUUAAUGUGUAUGAAGCUGUGUCUGCAUCGAGGGAAGAACCCAGCACUGAAAUGACACAAAUGAAAGAGGACGUCUUCUCUGCUGGGUCUGCGACACUACUUAUCCUAGGAAUCCUCAAACAUCAGGAUGUAGGAAACUUAUGGUGAGAUGCCAAGAACCGCCAUGAGGGAUAUGCAACCUGCAGCUUCACCAUGCUUUUGGGAGAUCAUGUACUACGUGAACCUUGAGUAUCUACAAGCCAGCUACUUUAAGUCCUUGAAAGGGUAGUGAUGUCAUUCAAGCCAGAUCACGAGACAAGGUCCUGUACAAACUGUCAAUCUAAGUGUUGCGACAUCCCUGUCAGUUCUUUUGGACUGAAUACAUGCUGUGUUUGAAAUGUAUUAUUCGGAUAACCUCCCAUCAGGGAAUACCUUGUCUGUUAAUGACGGAUGGACAUGCCAUUGACAUGCAGUGCACACUUUGAUGUUUUUUAUUGUAAUGUUUUCUAGGUUUUUCCGAUGUUCUUUUUUAUUUAUGUUCUGUUAUAUGCUGGUUAUGUAAGUACUGUAUGGAAUGUAGUGACUGUGGAGCCCAAGACGAAUUUCAACCUGGGGACAAAAAGUUCACUCCACUCUGUUAGCGCA